rnacentral:rRNA from 1 species
GACGAACGCUGGCGGCGUGCUUAACACAUGCAAGUCGAACGGAAAGGCCCCGCCCUUGUGGGGUGCUCGAGUGGCGAACGGGUGAGUAACACGUGCGUAACCUGCCCAUGACUUUGGGAUACCUUCAGGAAAAUGGCGCUAAUACCGGAUAGGAGAUCCUGCUGCAUGGUGGGGGAUGGCGAGGUUCGGCGGUUGGGGAUGGACUCGCGGCUUGUCAGCUUGGUGGGGGGGUAGUGGCUUACCAAGGCUUUGACGGGUAGACGGCCUGUGAGGGUGUCCGGCCACGUUGGGACUGAGAUACGGCCCAGACUCCUACGGUAGGGAGCAGUGGGGAAUAGUGCACUAUGGGCGGAAGCCUGAUGCAGCAACGCCGCGUGCGGUAUGACGGCCAUCGGGUUGUAUACCGCUUUCGCCUGGGACGAAGCGUGAGUGACGGUAAUGGGUAAAGAAGCACCGGCUAACUACGUG